rnacentral:tRNA from 1 species
ACACUGGUGGUUCAGUGGUAGAAUUCCUGCCUCCCACGUGGGAGACCUGGGUUUGGUUCCUGGUCAAUGCA